rnacentral:tRNA from 1 species
GCCCGGUUAGCUCAGUUGGUAGAGCAUCAGACUUUUAAUCUGAGGGCCAUGGGUUCGAGUCCCAUAUUGGGCU